rnacentral:rRNA from 1 species
UCCUACGGGAGGCAGCAGUGGGGAAUAUUGGACAAUGGGGGGAACCCUGAUCCAGCCAUGCCGCGUGUGUGAAGAAGGCCCUCGGGUUGUAAAGCACUUUCAGUGAGGAAGAACGCCUGGUGGUUAAUACCCAUCAGGAAAGACAUCACUCACAGAAGAAGCACCGGCUAACUCCGUGCCAGCAGCCGCGGUAAUACGGAGGGUGCGAGCGUUAAUCGGAAUUACUGGGCGUAAAGCGCGCGUAGGUGGCUUGAUAAGCCGGUUGUGAAAGCCCCGGGCUCAACCUGGGAACGGCAUCCGGAACUGUCAAGCUAGAGUGCAGGAGAGGAAGGUAGAAUUCCCGGUGUAGCGGUGAAAUGCGUAGAGAUCGGGAGGAAUACCAGUGGCGAAGGCGGCCUUCUGGACUGACACUGACGCUCAGGUGCGAAAGCGUGGGGAGCAAACAGGAUUAGAUACCCUGGUAGUCCA